GAUGCCUGCCCGGUGACCUGAGGUUCAACGGCCGCGGUAUCCUAACCGUGCAAAGGUAGCGUAAUCAAUUGUCCCAUAAAUCGAGACCAGUAUGAAUGGCUAAACGAGGUCUUAACUGUCUCUUGCAGGCAAUCGGUGAAAUUGAUCUCCCUGUGCAAAAGCAGGGAUAAACCCAUAAGACGAGAAGACCCUGUGGAACUUUAAAAUCAGCAGCCACCCCAAUAUACAUACACACCCACUGGGUUCACUUAGACCAUAAGCCACUGGCUUGCAUUUUUUCGGUUGGGGCGACCUUGGAGAAAAACAAAUCCUCCAAAAAUUGGACCAUAAAUCUAGACUUAGAGCAACUCCUCGAAGUGCGAACAGCAACCAGACCCAAUAUAAUUGAUCAAUGGACCAAGCUACCCCAGGGAUAACAGCGCAAUCUCCCUCAAGAGUCCAUAUCGACAGGGAGGUUUACGACCUCGAUGUUGGAUCAGGACAUCCUAGUGGUGCAGCCGCUACUAAG
rnacentral:rRNA from 1 species